UACGUAGGGUGCAAGCGUUGUCCGGAAAUUAUUGGGCGUAAAGAGCUCGUAGGCGGUUUGUCGCGUCGGCUGUGAAAACUCGGGGCUCAACCCCGAGCCUGCAGUCGAUACGGGCAGACUAGAGUGCUGUAGGGGAGACUGGAAUUCUGGUGUAGCGGUGAAAUGCGCAGAUAUCAGGAGGAACACCGAUGGCGAAGGCAGGUCACUGGGCCGCAAGCUGACGACU
rnacentral:rRNA from 1 species